rnacentral:rRNA from 1 species
GACGAACGCUGGCGGCGUGCUUAACACAUGCAAGUCGAACGCUGAAACCAGAUGCUUGCAUUUGGUGGAUGAGUGGCGAACGGGUGAGUAACACGUGGGUGAUCUGCCCUACACUUUGGGAUAAGCCUGGGAAACUGGGUCUAAUACCGAAUAUUCACAUCAUCGUAGGGGUGGUGUGGAAAGCUUUAUGCGGUGUGGGAUGAGCCUGCGGCCUAACAGCUUGUUGGUGGGGUAAUGGCCUACCAAGGCGUCGACGGGUAGCCGGCCUGAGAGGGUGUACGGCCACAUUGGGACUGAGACACGGCCCAGACUCCUACGGGAGGCAGCAGUGGGGAAUAUUGCACAAUGGGCGCAAGCCUGAUGCAGCGACGCCGCGUGGGGGAUGACGGCCUUCGGGUUGUAAACUCCUUUCGCUAGGGACGAAGCCUUUUUGGUGACGGUACCUGGAGAAGAAGCACCGGCUAACUACGUGCCAGCCGCCGCGGUAACAC